UUUUCUUACUACCACAUUAUUAUUUAUUGAAUGGAAUUCAGAAUCUCAAAUGUCCACGUAGCUUAGUUUCCUCCUACUUAACACCCCCAAUCUUUCAGCUUCUUCAACCACAAAUUAGCUGAUUUCAUUCUCCUUCAAAACAACUCAGUCCAUCGCAUUCCCCAGCAAACUUCUAUCUCUCAUAUCUCAAUUUCAAGAACUCUCACAAUCGCUCCAGAAUACCUGCAAGUAUUUAUAAUCUACCAAAUCAACAGUUCUUCCACAACCCAUUCUCGGCCAUAAAUUCAAGAAACCGAAAUUAUUUUCACAGAGGUAAACCAACUCACAUAUUCAUGCCAUAAUCAGUAAUCUAUUUCAUAAAGAACCAUCACAUUAACAAGGAAUCUUGAAACAGAAAGCAAGAGAAGUAUGGCAUAUAAAUUGACUUUGCAUAUAAUGUAUGCCUGCAUAUACACGUGCAUUUUUCUGCAAAUCAGUUAGUUAAAGCAUUUAGAAUAAAUGAAUCUAUUUGUCUUGUGUAUGUUGGUGUGUGAGGUUGUUGCUGGGGUUGUGAGUCGAGGGAGGACCGGCGGCGGCAGUGGCGGCCUGAGGCUUCCGCUGUUGCGGCCGAGAGAGAGAAAGAGGGGAGUCCGCUACAGUUCGGAAAGGGAAGACGGAGGCUGCGGUGUCGGUUGGAGUAGCAGAGGAGGGAGACGGUGGAUGGGUAGGCAGGAGCUUAGGGUUUUCGAUAAUUUUUGGGGAUUUUUGUAUCUUAUAAAGAGAAAAGAGAUGAGUGAGAAGAGGGAGACACUGGAGGGUGGUGGCCGGUGAUGAGGAGGGAGGCGGCGGCGACUUUGGGGAUUUAGGAUUUCUGUAUUUGGGGUUUUUGCAGGAGAAUUGGAUAGAGAGGGAGAAAGAUAGAGAGAGAUGAAGGUGGCGGUGGUAAACCGGCGACGCGCCGCCGGAUUUGUGGGAGGCGGAGGCAGCGGCGGCGUGAGGUGAGCAAAGGAGGGAGACACCGAAUGGGAGAGUGAGAGAGUGAGGUCUUGUGUCUGUGUGUGCGUUGAGAAAAAGGAGAAGAGAGGAGAGAUUGAUUAGUUGAGUUGGGCUCCAACAUUGGGCCUCUAAUUUAAUUAAGUGGGCUGCACUUUUAUAACUUGGGC
rnacentral:lncRNA from 1 species